UGCUAAGCUAACAGACUUCUGGG
rnacentral:piRNA from 1 species